rnacentral:rRNA from 1 species
GGUUUGAGAGGACGAUCAGACACACUGGAACUGAGACACGGUCCAGACUCCUACGGGAGGCAGCAGUAGGGAAUUUUCCGCAAUGAGCGAAAGCUUGACGGAGCAAUACCGCGUGAGGGAUGAAUGCCUAUGGGUUGUAAACCUCUUUUUUCAGGGAGGAAUCAAUGACGUGUACCUGAAGAAUAAGCAUCGGCUAACUCCGUGCCAGCAGCCGCGGUAAAACGGAGGAUGCAAGUGUUAUCCGGAAUCACUGGGCGUAAAGAGUUUGUAGGUGGUUAAAUAAGUCAACUGUUAAAUCUUGAGGCUCAACCUCAAAACUGCAGUCGAAACUAUUAAACUAGAGUAUAGUAGAGGUAGAGGGAAUUUCCAGUGGAGCGGUGAAAUGCGUAGAGAUUGGAAAGAACACCAAUGGCGAAGGCACUUUACUAGGCUAUUACUGACACUCAGAAACGAAAGCUAGGGUAGCAAAUGGGAUUAGAUACCCCAGUAGUCCUAGCUGUAAACGAUGGAUACUAAGUGUUGAAUAGAUUAAUCUGUGCAGUACUAAAGCUAACGCGUUAAGUAUCCCGCCUGAGAAGUAUGCACGCAAGUGUGAAACUCAAAGGAAUUGACGGGGGCCCGCACAAGCGGUGGAGCAUGUGGUUUAAUUCGAUGCAACGCGAAGAACCUUACCA